rnacentral:rRNA from 1 species
UUAGAAACAUUGUUUGCAGGAUCGGUUGUUGAUGACAUGGAGCACGACGAAUUGGGAGACUCAAGUCACAAUACCUAUGUCGACCAUGAUCCGUUGGACUAUGUGUACUCAAACCUCCCCGACAGUACACACAUUCUCAAGCACGCCGCGAACUGUGACCACUGCAAGGCCAAUAAGUUUGUGUCCGAGGCCCCGGGAUUCUGCUGUCGCAGUGGGCAGAUUGAGCUGAAGCAACCGGAGCCCAUCCCGGAGCUAAUGAGGCUUUGGUCUAGCACGGAUGCGGACUCUAGGCAUUUUCGGGAGAAUAUACGAUUCUUCAACGGCCACUUCUCCUUCACAACGCUCGGCGUCAGCCUGGAUGAAAGCUACACAAACAUGAAGUCUGGGGUGUACACCUUCCGGGCGCACGGCACCAUCUACCACAACGUUCAUUCCUUCGGGACAACAUCCGUUCCAGAGCAUCUACAGUUGUACUUCUACGAGGACGACCCAGGCCUAACCCAUCGCCAGCCUGCCACCAAGCAAUUAGAUCAGAAUGUCGUCAGAAAGUUAGUGGACAUACUCAAGGAAAACCCAUACUCCCAGCCGUUUAGGAGUUUGGGUGCCCACAGGGACAACCUCGACGAUUACAGGAUAGACCUCAACACGGACCAGAGACUAGAUCAAAGGAAGUAG